rnacentral:misc_RNA from 1 species
UCAAUGCGACCAGCGCGGUCUCCGCUCCGCUGCCGACGCGAUGAACCGUGACUCGGCUGGACUCCAUUUGCAGGAUCGAUUGUCCGUUACGCAGCGCGCCGGUGCGCGCGUCGUCGAAACCGGGCCCGGUCAGAUCGUUGAACAAUCCGGGGAAAUUUUUCGCACGAUCAUUGGCGCCGGCGAGCGCGCCGUUCGGCGUGAAGGUCAUCGCA